UACGGCCAUAUUACGUUGAAACAUUGGUUCCUGUACGAUCACUGAAGUCAAGCAACGUCGAGUCUGGUCAGUACCUAGAUUGGGGAAAUCUUGCGAAUAACAGGUGCUGUAAG